rnacentral:lncRNA from 1 species
GAGAGAGAGAGAGAGAGAGAUUCACAGAUCCCCUCUGCACCGUCGGCAUAUUGAUUCUCCGGCUGCUGUCGCAACAACUGGUUGGGGGGAAUUCAUGUAGGCCGUCAACUUUUAACGAUUCUGCUCGCAACUUCCUCCUCCCUCCACACUGCGACCUUUCAUUUCUCUGUGCUUUUCAAAUCAGUUUAGCACGCUGAAUUAAUGCAUAAUAUUUCAUUGAUCAGAUCUGUUGAAUGUUGCAUUGAUUCUAUUUUUUAGAUCAAAUCAGAUAUGUAGCUCUCCCGGGUACACCUUCCAUCCCCGUGCGUGUCACAGCGAAAGAGAAGAAGAGUGUAUUGAAAAAAAU